UGCAGGAAGAGGGCAAGGGGCGCGUGUCCUGGGACCUCAGCCUGGUCGGACGCCCCCAAAGCACACAGACGGCUCAUCGGCCUGGGGGCAGGUGCGCUGCCCGCUGCCUGGGGCCCAUGGGACACUUGGACUCGGGUGUCUGCUGGAGACCAAGCCCCCAGCAGGGCGGGAUGGGGUCUGCCUGUCUGCUGUUCCGCGGCCGACACCCGCUGUGGGAUGCCAGCCACAGACGGAAGGAUCAGCAGGAGAGGCAGGGAGGGUGAGUUUUGAGGCAGGAGGAAUCCCGGGUCUCGUCAGCCAUCAGUUCCAGAACACCGAGGCCCGGAGGCUGCUGGCUAAUCAGCUGACCCGGGGCCACCUGACGUCCGGCUCGAACCCGCCCACAUUCGUGGAGGUCACCUUGCGACACAUUUCCCUGUGGUGCCUUUUCUGAAUAAUGCUGGGGUCUCGUGGAUUCCCAGGAGCAGCUGCCUCUAUACCGUGACUUUAAAGCUCACAUGUCACUGCAGGGACCUUUUAAAUGUGGAGGAAAGUUGAUGGUCAGCCUUUCAGAAACCUCCCUGUCCUUAAGAUGACAGGCUUGCAAGAUCACACAGGACCGCUGCCGGUAUAAAGAUAAGAUCAUUGCUCCAGGCUUGCGUUUGAUAAACCGUCUGCGGUCUGAAAGCCCUGUCUCUGAAGACUCUUCUCCAUGGCUUGUCCUGCCUUUCUCCCAUCACGUCAGUGACCAUCCGGUUCUCGGUUCUGGAAGGACGGCAGCUUGGCCCAGCCUGGAUGGCUGCAGGAGCCCAGCCUCCUAAACAGUGGCCUCUCGAUUAGCCUAGGUUGAAAACUGAAUACGUUUACAAAAAAAAAAAAAAAAAAAGGGGAGGGAACGGCUAGUACCUAAUUUGGGGACCCUAGAAGUGAGGUAGAGAAGUCUAGUGCAGACCUUGACUCUGAGAGCCGAGAGGGACCGCCAGCGCCCUCGCACUGGGACUGUGGUGUGUGCGACCGCCAGCAUCGCUCAUCUACAGAGGGAAGCAGUGUGGCUCCGAGGACGGAGAAGCCCAUGGGCUGAGCCUCAGCACCUCCAAGACCUGAGAGUGACCGGCUGUUAUUCCGUCCUGCUGGCCAUCUCUGUGGCGAUAAGGACUGGGUUGUUUUGGGAUUCCUCGCCUUGGAUUGAGUCCUGCGUACCAUCCCAUGCUGGUGGAGCACUCAGUUGCCCUGGAGUUUCUGUCCUGGUGGUCUGAGAGAUGGGAAGUUCUCCUGCCGGUCAUUUCCAUCUGUGGUUGGCUUGUUUUGUGAAAGUUGCACACUUGCUGGAUAGGAGAAGGGAGCUGCUUCCGCAGAUCCUCAGGCCUGGCAAUCCUCUUACAUUCACCAGUGGAAGUGGGUUUGACAACUGCUUCUAGGCUCAGGUUCCCAGUGUCGGCCAUGGAGACCAACGGGUGGCCCUUCCUGAUGGAGACCAGCGGGUUCCCCUUCCUGAUGGAGACCGACAGAUGCCCCUUCCUGAUGGAGACCAGCAGGUUCCCCUUCACGCUGGAGACCAGCAGGUGGCCCUUCCUGAUGGAGACCAGCAGGUACCUCUUCACGCAGGAGACCAACGGGUACCUCCUCUCCAUGGAGACCAGUGUGUGCCCAUUUGAAGAUCUGGUGACGAUGCUAUGAGAUGAACUGGAUGUCAGCCCCAUUCACCUGUGUGGCUGGCACCUUUAAGGCACAGCCUAGCUGGGUCUACACAGCAGGUUUGGUUGUAUUGCCGUGGAAGAGUAGGGGCAUGG